UACGUAGGUGGCGAGCGUUGUCCGGAUUUAUUGGGCGUAAAGCGCGCGCAGGUGGUGCGGUAAGUCUGUCGUGAAAUCUCCCGGCUCAACUGGGAGGGUGCGGUGGAGACUGCCGGACUGGAGGCACUCAGAGGCCGGUGGAAUUCCCGGUGUAGUGGUGAAAUGCGUAGAGAUCGGGAGGAACACCAGUGGCGAAGGCGGCCGGCUGGGGGUGACCUGACGCUGAGGCGCGAAAGCGUGGGGAGCAAACAGG
rnacentral:rRNA from 1 species